UGUUCUUACAGGAGAGGGGUACUAAAUCAUAAUGGUGUUUAUUUUCAUGGACACUAAAGAUUAUGUAUUUUUAUGGUAUGAACUCUAUGGAAUAAUAUUCUAGAAUGUUCGUACGUUGUGUUACAGUUAUGCCAGACUCAUUAACAUAUACAUGACCUUGGAAGUGAUCAUGUUAAGCUCUUUUUCUUGCCCUUCAUUUUUUUUUAGCUGUUUUUGAAACAUAACCAUGAAAGAGCAGGUCUCUUUCAGAUCUCAAGCAGGAACCGGAUGUCUCUCUGGAGCAGACACUGAGAAGAGGAGAGGAUUUUGAGGAGCUGCAUGUGAAGGCGUAUCUCCUCCACAGGAGACCCGCACAGAGUGCCACAAAGAUGCUGCCAAACAGCUGAACAAACAAGCUCUUCCCUAGUUAUCACUCUCUGAGCAUCGCUGCUCACAACAGAAGAGUCCAUGGACCAGGGUUGUCCUCCCCAGCACACACAAGGAACCGGGCCGUGUAGCAGAGGCGUUUCUGUGCUGUAAAAACCUCCCUGACACCACCACGAGGGAGUCUCCCUGCUCUCCAAUGUGGCCAUUACUAUGGAAAGCUUCAGCUUGCUAAGAGGGAUCAUUGAACAUCCUUGUAAUGAACACAUGUGUCUUUUCUGUGGUUAUCAAAUAAAAUGUUUUAUUCUUGAA